CAGAAUCAACCUACUGAUAAAGCUCCGAGGACUAAUUACCAUUCUAGAACCAAAUGCAUUCUUCUCAUCCUCGAACUUGGGAUCCAAUGGUGAAAUCAGCCUGGUCUAAUGGAGAAAGCAUUCUAGCCAAAUCAAAUGGAGGAGACAGGAGGUGGAUCAAAAAAGAUCUUGCUGGGCUUCCCUGGUGGCGCAGUGGUUGAGAGUCUGCCUGCCAAUGCAGGGGACACGGGUUCGGGCCCUGGUCUGGGAAGAUCCCACAUGCCGCGGAGCGGCUGGGCCCGUGGGCCACAGUUGCUGAGCCUGCGCGUCUGGAGCCUGUGCUCCGCAACAAGAGAGGCCGCGAUAGUGAGAGGCCCGUGCACCGCGAUGAAGAGUGGCCCCUGCUUGCCGCAACUGGAGAAAGCCCUCGCACAGAAACGAAGA